GAUCCUGCCAGUAGUCAUAUGCUUGUCUCAAAGAUUAAGCCAUGCAUGUCUAAGAAUAAACUCUUGAAUGGUGAAUCUGCGAAUGGCUCAUUAAAUCAGUUAUUGUUUAUUUGAUGGUACCUUACUACAUGGAUAACCGUAGUAAUUCUAGAGCUAAUACAUGCGUAAAGCCCCGUCAAGGGGUGCAUUUAUUAGAUUCAAACCAUCGGCUCUUCACGGGGUCUUUGAUGGUGAGUCAUAAUAACUGAGCGAAUCGAAUGGCCUUGUGCCGUCGAUGCUUCAUUCAAAUUUCUGCCCUAUCAGCUUUCGAUGGUAGGAUCUUGGCCUACCAUGGCUAUAACGGGUAACGGGGAAUUAGGGUUCGAUUCCGGAGAGGGAGCUUGAGAAACGGCUACCACAUCCAAGGAUGGCAGCAGGCGCGCAAAUUACCCAAUCCCGACACGGGGAGGUAGUGACAAUAAAUAACGAUGCUGGAUUAAAUUAAUCCGGCAAUUGGAAUGAGAGUAAUUUAAAUCAAUACUCGAGGAGCCAUUGGAGGGCAAGUCUGGUGCCAGCAGCCGCGGUAAUUCCAGCUCCAAUAGCGUAUAUUAAAGUUGUUGCAGUUAAAAAGCUCGUAGUCUGAAUCUUGGUCGGUGUUGAGCGUCCGUGGCUUUUUUGGUUACGUGCACGCGAUAUACAUCGGCUAUUUGUUUCCUUCGGAGGAACGUAGGUGCUUUUCAUUAAGUGCUUGCGGGAUUCCGAUAGUUUACUUUGAGAAAAAUAGAGUGUUCAAAGCAGGCGUUUUUGCCUUGAAUACAUUAGCAUGGGAUAAUAGAAUAGGACAUUGGUUCUAUUUUGAUGGUUUACGGACCGAUGUAAUGAUUAAUAGGAACAGUUGGGGACAUUCAUAUUCCAUGGCUAGAGGUGAAAUUCUUGGAUUCAUGGAAGAUGAACUACUGCGAAAGCAUUUGUCAAAGAUGUUUUCAUUGAUCAAGAACGAAAGUUAGGGGAGCAAAGACGAUCAGAUACCGUCGUAGUCUUAACCAUAAACGAUG
rnacentral:rRNA from 1 species